rnacentral:rRNA from 1 species
GAUGAACGCUGGCGGCGUGCUUAACACAUGCAAGUCGAUCGGAAAGGCGCUGCUUCUGUGGGGUGCUCGAGUGGCGAACGGGUGAGUAACACGGGAGUAUCCUGCCCUGGCCUUUGGGACAACUUCAGGAAACUGGGGCUAAUACCGGAUAGGAGCCGCUGCCGCAUGGAGGGUGAUGGAAAGUUUCGGCGGUUGGGGAUGUACCCGCGGCUUAUCAGCUUGUUGGUGGGGUAGUGGCUCACCAAGGAUUUGACGGGUCGCCGGCCGGCGGGGGUGACCGGCCGCAUUGAGACGGAGGAGCGGCCGAGCCUCCUACGGGAGGAAGCAGUGGGGGAUAAUGCACGAUGAGGGGAAGAAUGAUGCAGCAACGACGCUGGCUGGAUGACGGACGUCGGGGUGUAGACCGCUUUCGCCAGUAACGAAGCAUGAGAGGCGGUAAUGUGUAGAGGAGGAGCGGCUAAAUACGUG